GGCUGGGUCCUGUGCGACGGGAGCCUGUGAACCGAGUCAGGGCCGGAAGGCAGCAGCUCUCAGUGGGUCAUCCCGGGUGCCGCAGUAAACCUGGCCGCU
rnacentral:SRP_RNA from 1 species